AUCAGAUUCUGAGAGAGAGAGAGAGAGAGAGAGAGAGAGAGAGAGAGAGAGAGUGUGAAGGUGUUCAAUCAACCAUGCAUUCUGUCCUUCCCAGUCCUCUCUCUUUCUCUCUCUGGCUCUUGGCUCUGCUGCCUUC
rnacentral:miRNA from 1 species